rnacentral:rRNA from 1 species
UACAUGUGGGGCAAGCGUUGUUCGGAAUUACUGGGCAUAAAGGGUGCGUAGGUGGUUUGUUAAGUCAGGGGUGAAAUCCCGCGGCCCAACCGUGGAACUGCCUUUGAUACUGGCGAACUUGAGUGCGUGAGGGGUAGGGUGAGCGAGCAGUGUAGCGGUGAAAUGCGUAGAUAUUGCUCGGAAGGCCAGAGCCGAAGGGGCCCUACUGGUGCGUAACUGACACUGAGGCACGAAAGCGUGGGGAGAAAACAGG